rnacentral:rRNA from 1 species
UACGUAGGGUGCAAGCGUUAAUCGGAAUUACUGGGCGUAAAGCGUGCGCAGGCGGUUCGCUAAGACAGAUGUGAAAGCCCCGGGCUCAACCUGGGAACUGCAUUUGAGACUGCUCUGCUCGGGUGCGGAAGAGGGAAGCGGAAUUUCCGGUGUAGCGGUGAAAUGCGUAGAUAUCAGGAGGAACACCGGUGGCGAAGGCGGGUCUCUGGGCAGUAACUGACGCUGAGGAGCGAAAGCGUGGGGAGCGAACAGG